AGCAUCGUAAGGGCUUGGAAACACCACAAUAGUAAUCUGCACAAAUGGUGUCUCUGAUUUUCUAAACUGUUUGUUUUGUUUUGACAGACGAUCACAUUCGACGAGCCUCAAGACGAGCUCGAGUCCACUUUAUCCAACGCUAUUUACAAUCUAGACACGUCGAUGAUUAAGAAGAAGAACGACUGAGAGAGAGAGAGAGAGAGAGAGCAAUAGCCUGUGUUUGUUUGGUUUGUACGAAUAGAUAGACCGAUCAAAGGGAAAUUCUCUGCUCAUCAUCUGAAUACGGGGUCAUCAAAACCCAAUUUUCAUCUUAUUUUUUGAGAUUUCGUUCCCACCUUUACUUCUUUUCUGAUUCAUUUUUUCUUAUAUUGCUUUUGCAGGGAAGUUUGAGUAUCUUAGAGGCAAAGGUUGCGAAUUUGUAGGUAAUUGGGUUUUGAUAAUGUUAUGGGCUCAAGCAGGGUUGAUGAGGAUGCUGAACCUGUUUUAAAAUAUGGACACAGAUUGACCGAAUGGGGAGAAAUGAUACAGCUGUGGAAGAGGAAGUUAGAUAUCGGUUUAGUAUUGUCAUUUGCACUACAGGAAAUCAUUCAUACAAGACAAUGCUCAGAGAGAUUCACCCUUAAUAUUUGAACUCGAGGCUACUUUGAAUUGGCAAGGCUCCUUUGCAGGUGAAAUUAGCAAGAAAUUUUUUUAAAGGAUGAAAGACCUGUAGAUUUGGAAGGUACUUGGAUGAGCCAGUCAGAAUUGUCAGGAAGCUGUUGCAGCCUGGGGUCUAUCUGAAAUUGAUUGAUUUGUGUCUUGAAGGUAAGCAAUCACUUUACCCUAUUCUAAAAUUGUGUACAAUGAAAGGUCGUUGCUUUAAUUUCAUUACUUCUUCAUAGUUUCUGCUAAAACCGAAUGAUUAGUACAUUAUCAGCCUAUUGUUUUCUUAUUAUUAUCUCCUUUGUACAUCCUCUUUUUGGAUUUCAACUACUUUUCCAUUCCUAUUAUUGUUAGUAUUUGGAUUGAACAGGGACAAAAUUUACUCUUCGAACGAUAUGAUCUGUUUGCUUUCCUCAUUAUAGAUGUGUAUACCAAUUUAGACUUGGAAGAAUAAACAUCUGAUAGCUUUGUUUUCUGUAAUGAUUAAAUGAAGAACAUCCUCUUUGAAUUGCAUCAUUGAUUGAUUGAUGGGUUGAAUACUUUUUGGUAUAAUUCAAAUAUCUUAACUACUAUUUAGAAGUGCCUCAGCAUUUUUUUUUUCCUUUAAUGGCAUUUAUAGAUAGUAGGGUCUAGCUUUUUGUUUAUUCAUGUUGACAUAUUGGGUUUGGAAUGAAGUAGUUUUCUUCCUUUCUUUAUUUUUGGUGGUAUUUGGGUCUUGGCUAGAUGGUUAUAUAUGUAAUAGAGCUUGGUAGCUGAAAAUAUCUUCGGGUACUAUUAGAAAUAUACUGAUUUGAUAAUGGUUAUUUGUUUAUGUGUUCUUGGGUUGUUUGUUCGAGUCUGUGAUGGGCAUUGAAGGAAACUAACAAUGUGCGGUGGUAUGUGACAACUAACUGUGUGCUAAAAUUUUGACUCAGCCGGGCAGGUCUUUGUGGUUCCAAGGGGACUCCCAUGCCUCUGCGACUUUGAACAGUCACUUGCCUGUGUCUUUUGUCCUCCCUUUUUAUGUUUUC